ensembl:snRNA U6 U6 spliceosomal RNA
GUGCUCGCUUCGGCAGCACAUAUACUAAAAUUGGAACAAUAGAGAAGAUUAGCAGGGCCCUGAGCAAGGAUAAAAAAACAUUGAAGAAAUACAUAAAUAAUAU